rnacentral:rRNA from 1 species
GUGGGGAAUCUUGCGCAAUGGGCGAAAGCCUGACGCAGCCAUGCCGCGUGAAUGAUGAAGGUCUUAGGAUUGUAAAAUUCUUUCACCGGGGACGAUAAUGACGGUACCCGGAGAAGAAGCCCCGGCUAACUUCGUGCCAGCAGCCGCGGUAAUACGAAGGGGGCUAGCGUUGCUCGGAAUUACUGGGCGUAAAGGGCGCGUAGGCGGACAGUUUAGUCAGAGGUGAAAGCCCAGGGCUCAACCUUGGAAUUGCCUUUGAUACUGGCUGUCUUGAGUACGGGAGAGGUGAGUGGAACUCCGAGUGUAGAGGUGAAAUUCGUAGAUAUUCGGAAGAACACCAGUGGCGAAGGCGACUCACUGGCCCGUUACUGACGCUGAGGCGCGAAAGCGUGGGGAGCAAACAGGAUUAGAUACCCUGGUAGUCC